UACAGAGGUCCCAAGCGUUGUUCGGAUUCACUGGGCGUAAAGGGUGCGUAGGUGGUGAGGUAAGUCGGAUGUGAAAUCUCCGAGCUCAACUCGGAAACUGCAUUGGAAACUACCUUGCUAGAGGGUUGGAGGGGGGACUGGAAUGCUUGGUGUAGCAGUGAAAUGCGUAGAUAUCAAGCGGAACACCAGUGGCGAAGGCGAGUCCCUGGACAACUCCUGACACUGAGGCACGAAAGCUAGGGGAGCAAACGGG
rnacentral:rRNA from 1 species